UUAAAAAUAAGCUAAAUAAAGCUUUUGGGCUCAUAAUUCAAAUAUAAAGGAAAUCCUUUUUUUUAA
rnacentral:tRNA from 1 species